AGUAUUUGAGAUAUGCUUCUACUAAGCCAUGCGAUGUUUAAGAUAUCUAAUACAAAAAAAAAAUUGUUGUCAAUCUGAAACUCAAAUUUAACCAGCAUCCUGUAUUUUCUCUGGCACUCCUACUCCCCAUGCCUCUCUGGAGUUGAGAGGUAAGAGGCCAGCAGGGAAAGAGGUCUGGCAGUCACCUGCCUCAAACUUCGGCUGAAGAGGCAAGAGCUGCCCUGGGGGGCCUGUUGCUCUCUUCAUUCCCAGAACCAAAUGCUGUCCUCAAGUUAUCCCCAGUCCCCCCUUCUCCUGAGUAAGGAGCAUUAUAUUUAGGGUAGGAAAACACCAGUAUGACUUUUAUACUGAUGAUCUCCAAGAUCUUCUAAUUUUAAAGUGAAACAAGGAGAUAC
rnacentral:lncRNA from 1 species